GGAGGAUAAAUAAGGCUCUGUCAGCACAGAGGGAGCUGAAAGUCUAGGCUGGAGAUUUCAGCCUGCAAACUCCCAGACUCCAGGAAGGAACCUUCUCUGCUUUCUCUCUAGUCUCUUUGGAGCACCUUGAGGACAGGAGCUUGGCUUCAAGAAGACAGCAGAAGCACCAGGAGACGGGAAGAUACCUCUGAGAGUNNNNNNNNNNNNNNNNNNNNNNNNNNNNNNNNNNNNNNNNNNNNNNNNNNNNNNNNNNNNNNNNNNAGUUUCAAGGUAAAGCUAAAAAAAGAAAGAAAGAAAGAAAAGCAAGGCCUUAAUUUAAGUCCUUCUGUCUUUUUUUUUUAAUUAUUCAAAUGAAUUUAUCACAUCUGUAGUUGUAUAAUGAUCAUAACAAUCCAAUUUCACAAGAUUUCCACCUAGGCCCUUCUGUCUUGAUCAUUUCUUUCAUUCCCCAAGGUAAGUUUCCCAAUAUUUACUGGAACUUGACAUACUGUCGUCAUAACCGGUAUUUAUGCUCCCUGGCAGGUCUACUCUCAGUCUUCCUGAUCUCCUACAGUCUGGAGAGGACGCCUCUGUCUCAGAGAGCUUCUCUUUCUCCUGUACUUCCUUUCCAAUCCUAUAAGAUCCUCUGGGCCUCUGGCCUUAUUCAUCUCAUUCGAGCAGCCCUUGUCCCUUUCCAUGAUGUUUUCCAUACAACAGAUUUUAGAUUAUUUUAGUUCGGAAGCCAAUUUUAACUGGAUAUCUUCUCUGAAAAGUUUCCUCUACCACCUGGAAUAGGGAUAGGCACCAAAUGAAUUCCACGUACAGAACAGCCCAGCUACAAUUCCUGAGCCACCUAAACUCCGAGUCUUCUGGGCCAACUAAAAGGUUUUGUUGAAAGUUACUCGUGUAUCUCCAGAUAACAGCCAUUCUACUUCUUCCUCAAUUUCCUUCUGCACUCUACCUUGUCACACUGAAAAAUUCCUUGGAACCUAAUCCGAAGAGGUAUUCCUUCUAAAUCCUCUGGAGUAGCUCUUCAAAUCCCUGAUAACAGUUCCUUGCUCCAGAUUUUUCUAAACUAUGAGGCAUGCUGUUAUCACCAGGAGAAUCAUAUGUCCCUUGACUUAGUGCUAGCAACACCCUUCACGGGGAUUUACCUCAUCAAGUCCCACAUCCCCCUGGGCACAGAGAUUAUGGUUCCCACGGGACUUUAGAAAAAUUAAAAGAUAGGAGUUAAUAUUUACUGAGCCCUUAGUGUAGGUCAAACACUGGGCUGAACACUUCACAUGCGUGGUCACUUGGCACACAGGCGAGGGCAACGUCAUAAUUCAAGGCCUCUACAACACCCUCCCGUUGCAUCUGGUCAACAGAAUGUGGCACAGAUGAAGGCAUUUUUCAGAUGUAAUUAAGGUCUCAAGUCAGCUGAUUUUACGUUAACCACAGGGAACAGCACCCUAGGUAGGUCUGACACAAUCAGAUAAAAGCCCUUAAAGAGAGAUGUGGUCUUUUCUUACACUUGAUCUUAGCCAAAAGGCCGAAAAGCGAUGAUGCGGUCUUUUCUUAGGUCAGAUACUCUUCCCAGCUGCUGGCUUGAAGAAGUAAGCCACCACAUUGAGAGAGGGCCUGUGGAAAGGGUAACAUGGCAAAGAACUGUGGAUGGUCCUAAGCCCACAAGGAAAUGAAUUCUGCCAACACGUAAAAGCUGAAAGCAGCUUUCCUCCAGUUGAGACUCCAGAGGAGAAUAAGGGUCAGUCACCACCUAGAUUGCUGCCUUGUGAUACCGUGAGCAGAGGACCCAGCUAAGCCAUGCCAGACUCCUGAAGAACUGUGAUGUAGCGUAUGUGUUAAGAAACUAAGUUUGUAGAUUCUUUUAUACAAUAGAAAAAUAAUACAGACUUGGGUGCCUAGAAGUGGAAACGAAAAACAUGGGAGCAGCUUUGGAAUCAGGCUAGAAGAACUUUGAAAAGCAUAAAAGAGAAUGCCUAUGUGCCUUCAACAGACUAUUAGUAUAAACCUAGGCAUUCGUAUGCUAUAGUGGGGGCUCAGAAGAAAUUGAGAAACAUGUUAUUAGGAAAAAAAAAAAGAGGAUUCUUGUCAUGUAGCAGUACAGAGCUUAGCAAAAUUAUGUCCUGGAGUUAUCUACAAGGAAAUACUUAAAAGCUGGUUAUAUAAUUAAGAAGACUUCCAAGUAAAGUGUUAAAAGUGCCUCCUGAUUUUUUUCUUGCUACUUACAAUAAAAUGGGAGAGGAGAAAAAUUGAAAAAAAAAGUAAAAAGGGAACAAAGGCUUCAUAAUGUUGAAAUUUCUCAGCCUCUGCAAAAGGCAAAAACCCAUAAACAUUGAGAUUCACUGUCUUGAAUCUCUGCUGACUGUACAAUCUUUUCCUAAAAUCUCAGAAAGCUCAAAGGUAAAGUAAUUAGACAAAAAAAAAAAAAA
ensembl:lncRNA